CCUACGGGGGGCAGCAGUGAGGAAUAUUGGUCAAUGGGCUUACGCCUGAACCAGCCAAGUCGCGUGAGGGAAGACUGCCCUAUGGGUUGUAAACAUCUUUUGUCAGGGAGCAAUUGGCGCUACGUGUAGCGUUAUCGAGAGUACCUGCUGACAAAGCCUCGGCUAACUCCGUGCCAGCAGCCGCGGUAAUACGGAGGAUGCGAGCGUUAUCCGGAUUUAUUGGGUUUAAAGGGUGCGUAGGCGGACUGCCAAGUCAGCGGUAAAAUCGCGGGGCUCAACCUCGCUCCGCCGUUGAAACUGGCGGUCUUGAGUGGGCGAGAAGUAUGCGGAAUGCGUGGUGUAGCGGUGAAAUGCAUAGAUAUCACGCAGAACUCCGAUUGCGAAGGCAGCAUACCGGAGCCCAACUGACGCUGAAGCACGAAAGCGUGGGUAUCGAACAGGAUUAGAUACCCCAGUAGUC
rnacentral:rRNA from 1 species